rnacentral:rRNA from 1 species
CAGUCGCCGCGGUAAUACGGAGGGAGCUAGCGUUGUUCGGAAUUACUGGGCGUAAAGCGCACGUAGGCGGUUAUUCAAGUCAGAGGUGAAAGCCCGGGGCUCAACCCCGGAACUGCCUUUGAAACUAGAUGACUGGAAUCUUGGAGGGGUCAGUGGAAUUCCGAGUGUAGAGGUGAAAUUCGUAGAUAUUCGGAAGAACACCAGUGGCGAAGGCGACUGACUGGACAAGUAUUGACGCUGAGGUGCGAAAGCGUGGGGAGCAAACAGGAUUAGAUACCCCCGUAGUCCCUGUCUCUUAUAC